CCGGGAUAGCUCAGUUG
rnacentral:tRNA from 4 species